rnacentral:lncRNA from 1 species
ACACUUAAUUCUUUUAAUUAAGUAUUUGGGCUGAUGGAUCAGGGUUUGGUAUUUCGAAAAUAAUUUUCAAAUUUGAAAGAUUUUAUUUUCUGUUCACCAAAUAUGUUGACUCAUUUCACAAAUAGAUCAGCAUAUUUCAUAAAUAGCAAUCCUAUUGCUAAUUACAUAAUAGAAAAUAACUCAAUCAAAAUAAAUCAUG